CCUACGGGAGGCAGCAGUAGGGAAUCUUCCGCAAUGGACGAAAGUCUGACGGAGCAACGCCGCGUGAGCGAUGAAGGCCUUCGGGUCGUAAAGCUCUGUUGUUAGGGAAGAACAAGUACCGGAGUAACUGCCGGUACCUUGACGGUACCUAACCAGAAAGCCACGGCUAACUACGUGCCAGCAGCCGCGGUAAU
rnacentral:rRNA from 1 species